rnacentral:rRNA from 1 species
UACGUAGGGUGCAAGCGUUGUCCGGAAUUAUUGGGCGUAAAGAGCUCGUAGGCGGUCUGUUGCGUCGGCUGUGAAAACCCGGGGCUCAACCCCGGGCCUGCAGCCGAUACGGGCAGACUAGAGUUCGGCAGGGGAGACUGGAAUUCCUGGUGUAGCGGUGAAUGCGCAGAUAUCAGGAGGAACACCGGUGGCGAAGGCGGGUCUCUGGGCCGAUACUGACGCUGAGGAGCGAAAGCGUGGGGAGCGAACAGG